CCUACGGGAGGCAGCAGUGAGGAAUAUUGGUCAAUGGACGAGAGUCUGAACCAGCCAAGUAGCGUGAAGGAUGACUGCCCUAUGGGUUGUAAACUUCUUUUAUAUGGGAAUAAAAUGUUCCACGUGUGGGAUUUUGUAUGUACCAUAUGAAUAAGGAUCGGCUAACUCCGUGCCAGCAGCCGCGGUAAUACGGAGGAUCCGAGCGUUAUCCGGAUUUAUUGGGUUUAAAGGGAGCGUAGGUGGAUUGUUAAGUCAGUUGUGAAAGUUUGCGGCUCAACCGUAAAAUUGCAGUUGAAACUGGCAGUCUUGAGUACAGUAGAGGUGGGCGGAAUUCGUGGUGUAGCGGUGAAAUGCUUAGAUAUCACGAAAAACUCCGAUUGCGAAGGCAGUUCACUGGACUGCAACUGACACUGAGGCUCGAAAGUGUGGGUAUCAAACAGGAUUAGAUACCCCAGUAGUC
rnacentral:rRNA from 1 species